GAUCCUACGGGAGGCAGCAGUGGGGAAUAUUGCACAAUGGGCGAAAGCCUGAUGCAGCAACGCCGCGUGAAGGAAGAAGGGUUUCGGCUCGUAAACUUCUAUCAACAGGGACGAAAGAAAUGACGGUACCUGAAUAAGAAGCACCGGCUAAAUACGUGCCAGCAGCCGCGGUAAUACGUAUGGUGCAAGCGUUAUCCGGAUUUACUGGGUGUAAAGGGAGCGUAGGCGGCGCGUUAAGUCUGAUGUGAAAACC
rnacentral:rRNA from 1 species